GGGCAAUACUAGUACUGAGGAAAUGUCUGCUUCAACGGAGACAAAAUUUCCACCCCAUACCAGAAAUCACGGGAAUUGUCUUAAAUGUAGUUCAGCCUGGGUAAUGAGUCAUUUUAGCCAAACUAUGAGUCACAGUGAUAUAACAUUGAAGUAAGUGGGGCACAAAUGACCCUCAAAGAAUAAUUGUACUGGACAAAAUUUACUCUCGCUGAUGUGCCCUGCCGACUCUGCCGCAUGUAACUCUUGGAACUUCACAAGUAGCCUCCUCCUCCAGCCCUUUUAGAAAAGAAAUUCGAAUGUACUUAUUUCAGGAGCCAGCACUCUCAUUUCUUUAGACCCAGGACACCAAGUUUCUUGUACACAUCAGAGUGUGUGAGUGACACAACCAAAAUUUAUUUGCACCCCGUGUCCAAAAACCACCUCGGGUUUAGUAACUAAACUGAAACCACAGCGCGCCCUGGUGGGCAUCCAGUGGUUUGGCUUCCCAGGCCUUCACAUUUAGGGGACCUCUCAGCUAACCAGCGCUUCCAUUUUCAUCCCCAUUUCUCAGGUCAAGGAGGCCAUGCAGCGGAUCCAUGACCGAGGCAACAUUGGCAAAUUAAUUCUGGAUGUAGAGAAGACCCCGACUCCACUGAUGGCCAAUGACAGCACUGAGACCAGCGAGGCGGGAGAAGAGGAGGAGGACCACGAGGGUGACAGUGAGAACAAGGAGCGGAUGCCCUUCAUCCAGUAACCCAGGACCCCGGCUGAAGAAUGAAGGAUGGUUUGGCAGAAGAGCAACCAGCUGAGAAAGCUCUUCUGUGCCCCCGUGAACAAAUGCUGUCGUCCAGUGUGUCGUGUUUGUCUGCAGUCAGCUGAGCUAUAAAGCUGUUGAUCACUGUUGUGUUUUGAAAUUAAGUGCCAACCCCUUCCGCAUAGUAUUAUGUCCCUCCCUCCAUCUGUGUAGGACACUCUCCCCUCUCCCCUGUUUCAACGCCAUUCAUCUUUGGGUCCUUCUUGACAGUUCUAGAACAGCCUUGCAAAUUAAUACAAGCCCACAGGCCCCAUGCCUAAGAGACCAGACGUGGGCAAAGACAAGUAUGGAUUGAAAGGUAUGAUCACAGAGCGCUACUCACAUCCUAGAAUUUUUCAGGCCAGUGACACUUUUCACUGCCAGCCACCCAUGCUUCUGAUAAGAGCAUUUGCCAGUUUGGCUGGCAGAAAGAGGGUAGGCCAGGAGAUGUUUCCAUGAGCCCAUACACUUAAGAUCGCUCCAAAGAGUACUUGCCCUCUCCCUGUUUAGGAGGCAACAACCUCCUUUACAUUCAUUCAGUUGGUUCAUGGUCAAAAGUUUGAGCUACUCUCCUCUUACCCUCUGAUGCUUGAUCCCUUCACUGGUUCUUAUCCGUAAACACAGGGAAACAGAUGUGAAUUUUUCAGGAUAGAGGAUGGGUCAACAGCAUGAGUCUGAGGACCAGCCACAGAGAUUUCUCCUCUGAAAUGGCAUCUCAUGAGCAAAAUCCUCUUCCCCACCCCCAUACCCGUCAUAUAUAUUUUAUUUUAAUUCUAAGAAAAUUCACCAGGUGUGAGACUAUUUCAGAAGCCAUUACUGAGACCCGCUUAGGUUUGCACACUUGCCAUGGGCAUUACCAAUUUUACUAUAGUCCUUUCCUAGUAGUGAGCAGCCACCUUCACUGCGGAUCCCCCAAGGCAGACCUCUCUGUAGACCAUAUUUGGAAAAACAAGUCAUUGGAUAUCUUUUUACUAGCCAAGGCAUGUUCCAUCAUGUAACAAAUUCUAGCGAUACAAAGGUUGACCCUCAGUAUCAGAUGCCAAAUGUGCAGCUCCUCUCCUCUGAAAUAUAAAAUUAUGGUGCCGACUCUUUGCAGGAUCCUUGCAUUUGGGGAACUGGGGACCAAACUACUUGACUGUAGACCCUUGUCCAAUUUUCUAGCUCCUAAGCUUCUAAGAAACCCCACCCUCAGCCCCAUCCCACCUGACAUGGCCUGAGGUGAACAGUUUCCCUGCAGGAAGAGAAAGAGUCUCUGUGUCUCCACAAGCAAUCUCCUUGUUCCCUCUUUCUAUUCCUUUCAUCCCAAAGGUUGACUAUCAGUUACAAACCAAGCUGGAGACACAAGAAGCCCACAGGAUUAGCAGCCCCACUCGCUUUAUCUUCUGGAAGACAUUGGAGGGUCCCCACACUGCCCGAUCUCUCCACCAAUGAGCCUUAGGGUAGACCCAACUCUUCCCCCAAAGCGAUGGGAAUGAAUGCAUUUCAGCAAUUCCCUGUUCUGUUUCCAAAGUCCUUUUGUAACAAAUGUCACCUCAUUAAUCAUGUUCUGGUUUUUUUUUUCUUCCCUAUCCUAAGCUUGUGAUGAUGACUUCUUUAUGCCAAAUAUUUAUCUGAAGGGAGUUUCUCCACAUUGUGAAUGUACAUGUAAAAAAUGAAGAUGAGAAAAGGGUGGUGCCAUUGAUGUGCAGAAAGAUGAGAGUGUCUCUGAGAGGACGGGAUUCUUGUCUCUUCCUAACCCAGGACUCACCAAUAUUCCAGUUCUGGGCCAUCUAGGGAGAUAAUAUUGAGGUUUUAUCCCCCAAAUACCUUUGCUAAAUGUUGAAUUAUUGGUCGUGUUUCUCCCAUAACCAAGCUGACAACGGGGUCUUAAGGAAAACCGCUACCCACGUAACACUCCUGGUGAGCUGGACGGAAAUGGCAUUUUCCAGGGUGGGGGAACAGAGAGCCACUGGCCAUAUCAGGGCUGUCCUGUGCCAGGUGAGUGGGAAGUCGACAUUCAGACUCCAGAUGGCCUUUGUUACAUCCAGAGGAGAAACAUAAAAAGUCAUUCCUCCCCAAAUCUGGUUUUGCAACUAGCAAGGUUAAUAUAAUAAUCACAAAACAAAUACCAGUUGGUUAUAGAAAACUCUUUUUCGUAUCCUCAGAAUACAAGAUGAGAAGAGAAAAACUAGAGUUUGACCAAUAGAGUUUGAUCAAUUUAUGCCAUUAAGAAUUAAAAUAUAUAUAUAUCAAAAUUAACUAAUUAGUGCACUCUCGUCUUAAGCACCUUCUUUCCCAUCACGUGAUUGUUUCUCUGAAGGAAGGGUAAAAAAUGUCUCAGUUUGCCUUAAAGGAACUGUGAAGGCUUCUCCAUAAUUCAAGCUUGAUUGGAGUGAACUGAAACAUUGUCUAAUGUAUUUGUGGCUUUAGAGCUUUUGUUAUAUUGUGCCUACAAAGCAAAUUAUGUUUACAUAAAAAUAUAAAUAAAGUAUUCAGCAUAGCAUAA